AAUGAAAUGCCUGAUAAAAGGAUUAUUUUGAUAGAAUAACUAAUGUACUAACGUACUUUCAUUG
rnacentral:tRNA from 1 species